rnacentral:rRNA from 1 species
CCUACGGGAGGCAGCAGUGAGGAAUAUUGGUCAAUGGACGAGAGUCUGAUCCAGCCACGUCGCGUGAAGGAUGACUGCCCUCUGGGUUGUAAACUUCUUUUAUAUGGGAAUAAAAUGUUCCACGUGUGGGAUUUUGUAUGUACCAUAUCAAUCAGGCACGGCUAGCGCAGCGCCAGCAGCCGCGGUAAUACGGAGGAUCCGAGCGUUAUCCGGAUUUAUUGGGUUUAACGGGAGCGUAGGUGGAUUCUUAAGUCAGUUGUGAAAGUUUGCGGCUCAACCGUAGAAUUGCAGUUGAAAAUGGGAGGCUUGAGUACAGUAGAGGUGAGUGGAAUUCCUGGUGUAGCGGUGAAAUGCUUAGAUAUUACGAGGAACUCCGAUGGCGAAGGCAGCUCACUGGACUGCAACUGACGCUGAGGCUCGAAAGUGUGGGUAUCAAACAGGAUUAGAUACCCGUGUAGUC